rnacentral:lncRNA from 10 species
CUUCGGAGUUCGCCCCCUUCGGGACUCGCCUCCGGGAGACCCCCGAGGGGGAGAGGGCGCUUCCUCCGCGUCCAUCGCCCUUGCCGCCCCUGGGAGAGCUCUUGUCAGAGCUAUUAGCUCUGCUUUCUAAGCAGAAGUUUCUGCAGACAGAGACGGUACCUCUACUGCUGAGUCCAAAGUCACCGCGGCAUACCCAGCUCGGCAGACUCCCCUUAGUACGAAACUGCUUCCAUCAGUAAAAUAUUCAAUGUCCAGGUCCCCGAGGGGCCAAUCUGUUAAAUCUUUCCAGCUUGAGAACACUUUAUCUACCACGUCCACACAGCAAUGAAGGGGACUUCCUGUGUAGGGUCCAGCCCUACGGGGGCUUAGCGGGUGUUCUCCCCGUGUGCAGAGACAAGAGAUCGUAAGAAAUAAAGACACAAGACAAACAGAUAAAGAGAAAACAGCUGGGCCCAGGGGACCACUACCACCAAGACAUGGAGACCGCUAGUGGCUCCGAACGGCUGGCUGCGCUGAUAUUUAUUGAAUACAAGACAAGGGGGCAGGGUACGGACGGUGAGUCGUCCAAGUAAUUGAUAAGGUGAAGCAAGUCACGUGAUCAUAGGACAGGGGGCCUUUCCCUCUUAGGUAGCCGAGCAGAGAGAGAAGGCAGCAUACGUCAGCGUUUUCUUCUAUGCACUUAUAAGAACAAUCAAAGACUUUAAGACUUUCACUAUUUCUUCUACCGCUAUCUACUACGAACUUCAAAGAGGAACCAGGAGUACGGGAAGAGCAUGAAAGUGGACAAGGAGUGUGAUCAUUCAAGCACCACAGGGAGGGGGUUAGGCCUCCGGAUGACUGCAGGCCAGGCCUGGAGAAUAUCCAGCCUCCCACAAGAAGCUGGCGGAGCAGAGUGUUCCCUGACUCCUCCAAGGAAAGGAGACUCCCUUUCACGGUCGGCUAAGUAACGGGUGCCUUCCCAGGCACUGGCGUUACCGCUUGACCAAGGAGCCCUCAAGCGGCCCUUAUGUUGGCGUGACAGAGGGCUCACCUCUUGCCUUCUAGGUCACUUCUCACAACGUCCCUUCAGCACCUGACCCUAUACCCGCCGGUUAUUCCCAGGUUAUAUAGUAAUGGAACAAAGAGUAAUAUUAAAAGCUAAUGAUUAAUAA